rnacentral:lncRNA from 1 species
UUUUUUAUAUACACGUUACACACCCGUUGAUCUAAUUUUUAAAAUAACUAUUAUAAAAGUUAAUAAAUUUAUCAUCAUUUUUAUUAUACUUGUUAAAUAAUUUAUGAUAUAUAUAAUAGAGGAUAAUUUUAUAAUUAUGUGAAAGAGAAGAAGAGAAAAAAAAAACAACUAUGAUAGAAUAGAUCAUAUAUAUUAUAACAACAACUGGUCUCCACUAGUCCAGGUAUAUGAAAAAGUGCAAAGGAAGAUUGAAAAGAAAACAAGCAUGUGUAACAGAAGAAAAUGAACAAGACAUAUGUGAAAAAAGAUCACUUAUUGAAAGCAACACUAGCAACAGGAACUGAAUGAAAAUGGAGAGUGGAGAUGAGUGAUUAUUUAUGUAUCCAAAUCCAAGUGCUUAGGGGACGAU